GGCAUUUCACUAUCAGCACACUGAUUGAGUUCCCCCGAUAUUUUCAUCCAGGAGAAGGAAGAGAAAAACAGAAACACUGUGUGUGUGUGUUUGUGUGUGUGCAUACCAGGGUACUAGUAAGUUUAAAACCUGGAACUUGGCACAGAUUGCAUGAAGUUCUUCAUCUUUGAGGUGUCACUAUGGCACAGUGUUUAAGACUCUCGCCUCACAAGGGAAAGGCUCCUGGUUCAAAUCCCAGCUGAGGCCUCUCCGUGUCCUCCCACAGUCUAAAGACAUGCAUGUAAGGCCAUCUAGGAGGCAUCCUGGUCAGAUAAACCAGCUCUACUGGCUCCUUUUGAGGUGGAGGAGCAGCAGCUUGACUCACACCAAGCACCUCAGUCUAGCUCUAAGGCUGAGCCUCAGCACCCUUCGGUGGAAGCUUCAGUCCCACCAUCUGUAUCUGUGGUCUUCUGGUACUUCUCAGAGCUCAUGACCACAGCCACUCGACUGCAAACUGCCCCAGUGUGAGGUCAAGGUCACUGCUAGAUGAAGCCCACGCCUCCACCCCCCAGCUGUGCCAAGAAACUCUGCUUUCUGAAGUGAAAGAAGCCAUGCACAAAUAGAUAUCCAGGAUUGCAUUUCUUGCUUUCAUGCGUUGGUAUAAACAAACAAGCUAUAGCUUGAGAUUUGUACUUUUUGGUGCUGGUUGGCACAUUUGUUGCCCAUUACAGCCAGGCCAGCUCUUUCCAGUGUGAGUUUUGGUAGCCAGCUGGAAGCAGUGCUUUCAUAUACAGAUAUAAUAUUGACAACAAGUCUUGCAAAGAAUUCAAAUAAGUCCAUAUAAAUAUUUCACAAAAUGACAAAGUAUCCCUUCAAAACUGCAUAACUAUAUAAUAAUUGAGGAAAUGUUAUGUUUUCGCACAGUAAUUGCUACAUGCACUGCAGACCAUGUCCGUUGGGGUUUAUGAGAUAUAUGAGAAUAA